ACAGGUUGCAAAUCUAGCUUUCUCUGAACUUAAAGCAGCCGGGGAAUUUCCCCUUACUUAGCUCCAUUUUCAUUCUUCCUCCUCACCAGCCCUUGGACAUUUCCUUGACAGUCACCUUUAGGCGGAUCUGGGAGCAGCGGCACCUGCCGGGGGAAUCCAAGGACUAAAGCCGUGUAGGGCUGAUGCAAUGGACAGUUCUCCUGGGAUUAGGAAGAACGCUCUGGCCCCAUCCUCAUCCGGAUGAACCAGAGAAACAUGGACCACCGCUGUGGUUGAAGCUAGAGUGCUAGCUAUGGAAGAUCCAGAGUCUCAACAGGAGGAUUGUUCAACCACCUGGACUGCAUUGAAUUAACAGUCUGCAAUCCAAUUGUAUAACCAAGUGUGAAUAUGUAUGGAAGAUCAGUUUGUUUGCGAAGAGAUAUACACUUCUAUUACUCUUCUCUUUAGU